rnacentral:rRNA from 1 species
UACGUAGGGUGCAAGCGUUGUCCGGAAUUAUUGGGCGUAAAGAGCUCGUAGGCGGUUUGUCGCGUCUGCUGUGAAAACCCGAGGCUCAACCUCGGGCCUGCAGUGGGUACGGGCAGACUAGAGUGCGGUAGGGGAGAUUGGAAUUCCUGGUGUAGCGGUGAAAUGCGCAGAUAUCAGGAGGAACACCGGUGGCGAAGGCGGAUCUCUGGGCCGAUACUGACGCUGAGGAGCGAAAGCGUGGGGAGCGAACAGG